rnacentral:rRNA from 1 species
AUUGAACGCUAGCGGCAGGCUUAACACAUGCAAGUCGAGCGGGGUGAUGGUGCUUGCACUAUCACUUAGCGGCGGACGGGUGAGUAAUGCUUAGGAAUCUGCCUAUUAGUGGGGGACAACAUCUCGAAAGGGAUGCUAAUACCGCAUACGUCCUACGGGAGAAAGCAGGGGAUCACUUGUGACCUUGCGCUAAUAGAUGAGCCUACGUCGGAUUAGCUAGUUGGUGGGGUAAAGGCCUACCAAGGCGACGAUCUGUAGCGGGUCUGAGAGGAUGAUCAGCCACAAUGAGACUGACACACGGCCCAGACUCCGACGGGAGGCAGCAGUGGGGAAUAUUGGACAAUGGGGGGAACCCUGAUCCAGCCAUGCCGCGUUUGUGAAGAAGGCCUUAUGGUUGUAAAGCACUUUAAGCGAGGAGGAGGCUCUUUUGGUUAAUACCCAAGAUGAGUGGACGUUACUCGCAGAAUAAGCACCGGCUAACUCUGUGCCAGCAGCCGCCGCGG